rnacentral:rRNA from 1 species
AUAAUGGGUCAGCGACUUAUAUUCUGUAGCAAGGUUAACCGAAUAGGGGAGCCGAAGGGAAACCGAGUCUUAACUGGGCGUUAAGUUGCAGGGUAUAGACCCGAAACCCGGUGAUCUAGCCAUGGGCAGGUUGAAGGUUGGGUAACACUAACUGGAGGACCGAACCGACUAAUGUUGAAAAAUUAGCGGAUGACUUGUGGCUGGGGGUGAAAGGCCAAUCAAACCGGGAGAUAGCUGGUUCUCCCCGAAAGCUAUUUAGGUAGCGCCUCGUGAAUUCAUCUCCGGGGGUAGAGCACUGUUUCGGCAAGGGGGUCAUCCCGACUUACCAACCCGAUGCAAACUGCGAAUACCGGAGAAUGUUAUCACGGGAGACACACGGCGGGUGCUAACGUCCGUCGUGAAGAGGGAAACAACCCAGACCGCCAGCUAAGGUCCCAAAGUCAUGGUUAAGUGGGAAACGAUGUGGGAAGGCCCAGACAGCCAGGAUGUUGGCUUAGAAGCAGCCAUCAUUUAAAGAAAGCGUAAUAGCUCACUGGUCGAGUCGGCCUGCGCGGAAGAUGUAACGGGGCUAAACCAUGCACCGAAGCUGCGGCAGCGACGCUUAUGCGUUGUUGGGUAGGGGAGCGUUCUGUAAGCCUGUGA